rnacentral:misc_RNA from 1 species
GAUUGUUAUGUCAACAACUUUCUUUCCUUUGAAUGAGCGUUUCGCGAGAAAAUCUUGCAUGCCUUUGAAUUUCAGUGAUAUGUCAUCAUAAAUACGGAAAGAAAUGCAAGAAUAAAGAAAUAUGGAUACAAGAUAUGCAAUUUAAGCUGGAAAACAAGAUGAAUAUUGAAGAAUGGGUGACAGUGAAGGAGAAAAAGUACAGGAAUCUUCAGAAAGGCCCAGUAUGAACAGUGGCCAAGAUUCUGGCAUCGACUCAUGCAAAGGACUUUCUAAUGAUGAAAAUGGCAGUGCACAAGGCAAUCAAAAGUCAUUGUCUUCGGAAGGGAAAACUAAUCAGUAUGUUACGUCAACACCAAAGAAGGAGUUUAGAUUCCCUGGUAUUAUGGCUGAUCGGGCCAUUUUACCAAGUAAGAUGAUAUUGGAUGAUCCUCUUCUCUCUUCUAUUGAUGAUGCAGGAGAUCUUACAGAGCAUCAAGUGGAUAGUUUAGCCUCUGAUGAUGACUGUGAGGAUGUAUCAACACAAUUGUAUAAUACAAAGGUGAAAGUUGAUCUUGAUUCUCAAAGCAAGAGAAAUUCCAUUUUAUCACGAUUUAUGGAUGAUGUUUCAGCAAAACCCAAAAUGACAAGAAGCCGUUCUUUCUCAGGACCAUUAAAGUCUGCCACAGCUGAUGAACCUGAUGUUGAUUCAGUCAAGAAAAAUCUCUUUGAUAUACCUGUGAGCCCAAAGUUGAAGAGUAGAGUACGCCAGCGUCUCUACACAUUAGUUAAUUCAAUUGAGGGAUAUAAAGGAAAAGUCAGUAUUGAAGAGGAAGAAGAAAGGAAAAAGCUUUAUCAUUCAAAAACAUUUGGAUCAGGUUUAGAUUUGCAAAAUGGAGUUUUAAAAGAGGGUAGUCAUGUCUAUAAGGAUUUCCAUAUGUCAAGAAGUAAUGAAUCUUAUCCUGGUCUUAAAAUUCCUCUUUCAAGAGAUGCAAAUUACAAUUGCCAUUGUAACCAGCAAAAACAUGAAGAGGUAAGUAUCCAAGAUAAACAAGGACAUGCUUUAUGUCUGAACCAGAGCCAUAUUUCUUCUCUGAAUAACACUAUAAGUGAAAGAUAUGGGAAUGCUAUGUCAACUAUGCUAGAAACUCAGCUCCGUCAACUUCAUCUCCACCAAGAGCAAUUAAAUCAGGAAAAAUUGAGGUUUGCAUUGGAGAAGAAGGAUGAAGAAGCUAAUGCAAGGAUAUCCCUAUAUAGGGACAAACUUACAGAAAUGGUUCAGGUUGUGGAAGAGUUAGAAUCCAAAAUGAGAGAUCUUGAGAUGAAGAAAGGGAAGGAGAUUCGAGUUUAUGAAGAUAAGUUAAGAUAUCAAGAAGAAAGACAUAAGGAAGCUUUGUCUUUGUUACAUUUAGAGUGUGAAAAAAAGGUGCAUGAAGCAGAAAAUAGAGUAUCAGCUGCUCGUGAGGAAGCCACAAAAAACUUUGAUACAAAAAUUAUGGAUUUAUUGUCAGAAAACAGAAAACGAGUUGAGCUAGUGGAGAAGGAACAUCAAACACAUAUAAUGCAAAUGAAUGCUGUAAUAAGUAAAUUAAGGGCAGAGAAAAGAGAAACUGAAUUGUUUCUAGAGAAGAGAAAUCCAAAGCAGGAAAAUGAGCAGCUGAUCUCGAAUCUUGAGGAAAUAUCUAAGGAAAAGGAUGCCCUCAGACAUGAAGUAGAAGAACUAAGAAACAGGUUAAAACCAGCAAAUGAUAUUGAGCGUAGAAUAUCGGAACAGGAGGAGUGUAUUUCAACCCUACAGCUUGAGAAGAGAAAGCAGGAGGAGGAGAUAAAGAUAUGGAAAGCAGAAUCCGAAAAGUGGCAGAAAAAAUUCUAUAGCUUAGAAGCAGAUCAAAAGAGGAUGCUGGAUAAAGCCCUUCAGGAACUCCAGAUGUUAUCCGAGAAAGAAACAGAAAAAAUACAGAAAGAGAAUAAUGAAGAACGGAAAAGGAUGAACGAGAUGAUAGUGCUUCUACAGGAAAAACUGUCAGAAGCGCUAACAAAGAGUGCAGCUUUUGAGCAACAAAGAAAUCAACUGAGAAAUAUUCAUAAACAACAAAAGGAAUAUGUAAGUUCAAUCCAGGCUUUGGAAAAGGAAGUCAUCAAUCUAAAUGCUAAGCUUGAGGAGUCUGAUUAUACUAUCAGACAAGAGAAGAAAACUCUCCAGAGGCUGCAACAAAGACAUGCAGAGGAAAUAGUAGAACUGCAGAUGCAUCACAAGCAAGAGAUCUUGAAACAUCAGAUGACCUUAGAAAAGGAAAGAUCCUUUGCUGUUUCUGAGGCAUUAACACGUCGUCAGGAGGAGACCCGGACACUUCUCAGUGAGAUGGAGAGAAGGUAUCAGGAGUUACUUGAAAGUGUUCAGCAAUAUAGUCAAGCUCAGAUUGAAGAAUAUAAAAAGGUAACACAACUAGCAUAAAUCAAGGUCAUGCAGACUAGGGAUCAUCCGAUUCAUAUCACUGUCCAAAGUUGUGGAUGCUGCAAAUGCAGUGAAAGCUAGGCUGUGAGGAUUCUCAAACAAAAACUGAAGCAGUCUGGAGAAGGAGAAAGUACCUAACUUUCAAAAGAAACUGUAAAUUGCUUUAUUGUUUAUAGCUUUAAAAUUUGAACAUUGAGUAGACUAUGUAUAGAGCUAAACAUUUAUUUUUAUAUCUCAAAUAUAGUAACACAUGAUGUGUUGAAUUAU